rnacentral:rRNA from 1 species
GCCAGACUCCUACGGGAGGCAGCAGUGGGGAAUAUUGCACAAUGGGGGAAACCCUGAUGCAGCGACGCCGCGGGAGUGAAGAAGUAUUUCGGUAUGUAAAGCUCUAUCAGCAGGGAAGAAGCAAGACGGUACCUGACUAAGAAGCCCCGGCUAACUACGUGCCAGCAGCCGCGGUAAUACGUAGGGGGCAAGCGUUAUCCGGAUUUACUGGGUGUAAAGGGGGCGCAGACGGCAGCGCAAGCCAGGAGUGAAAGCCCGGGGCCCAACCCCGGGACUGCUCUUGGAACUGCGCGGCUGGAGUGCAGGAGGGGCAGGCGGAAUUCCUGGUGUAGCGGUGAAAUGCGUAGAUAUCAGGAGGAACACCAGUGGCGAAGGCGGCUUACUGGACUGUAACUGACGUUGAGGCUCGAAAGCGUGGGGAGCAAACAGGAUUAGAUACCCCCGUA